rnacentral:lncRNA from 1 species
UUAUUUUAUCCUUGAUCCUUUGGAUCAACCCUUGUUUUGUCUGCUCCAUGCUUGAUACGGAAUCGAAGCCAGCGAUUGCUGGAUCUUUCAAAAAUAAUAAUAUUAUACCCCAGAUUAGUUUAGAGGAGAUCACUUGCGUGACUGCACAAAUUACUAGGCAAAAUACAAGGCGGCAAGAUAUUUGACUUAGCUAUUGAUUACUGCGAGUGAAUUAAGAAUUUCCUUGCCACCAAUAGUGGAAAGAUCAGAAGGAGUAAUUUAAACAGCAAGUCAAGGGUGACGCAGGACACACGUUGCACUUACCCCCUCCCACAGACAUAAGAAGUUUAGCCGACUUCUUUUUGUCUCUUCUUUUGCGACGAAAAUUUUAGCGAGACCUUCUCAGGGUGAUCAAUCAAUCAGGCCCCAAUAUUCCAUUCAGCAAGUGAUGACAAGCAGGGCCAAGAAAAAUUCUGCAGUAUGAUAUCAGCAAUGUGGAGCUGCUUUCACCUUUCUCAAGACCCUGCAGUCACCGGUGGUGGUUAGCGUCGGCAAGUUGCAAAUGGACAUCUGAAUUCCUAAGCAACCAUCGACUUCAGAGGCAGCAGGAGACAAGGACGAUUUCAGCACAGGCGUACUACUAGCUUUAUUCCAUCCAAUUGAAUAGAAAACAUCAGAUUACACAAAACUUGUCCAAUAGAAACAUUCAAGAUUCCCUCGCCCUUCUUUUUCCUCCCCUACAUUAUAGACAUAAAAGGUUAUUCAUAAAGGGCCAGCACUACGCCGAGAAGUGCUGAAAAAUGUGUGGGGGGUGUGAGGGUGCAACAACCAUCUGCUAUGCAGAUAUUAUAGUUUAUCGAGGAAUUAACAACGAUGGGUGAGAAAGUUACAGACGGAAAAACAUUAUUGAAAAGGAAAGCAAACCACCAAGGCGCUAUGCUAAUGGCUUUAUGGCCUUCAUCGAAUGGCAGUUGAUAGCUCACACCGAGAUGCCAACAGUAAUACACCUCCCCCCCUCUCCCCUGAAAUAUUUAUUUAUCUGGACUGCAUACCUUAUGUGCUUCCAACUGCAGCACACACAAGUACAGAGGGGUCCUCCUCGAAGAAGCUCAUGAUACCUCCUCUUGCUUAUGCUCGGAUAAAAGGCUCAUGAUGCCUUAGCUUCCAGACUUCGUCUUCCCCGAGGAUCGCAGAGGCGCAGCUAUAGAGGACAGGCUCUGGCGCUGGCAUGCAUCGACACCAAGGAUAAGAUCUACGAGAUGGCCAUGGCUGGUCCAGCUUGCAGAUUUCUCUCGUGUUUUCUGUGUUUUGUAGCAUGUCUUAUCGUUAUGGAGUCUGCUUUGUCUGCCCAUUCAUGGUGCACCCCACAUCCCAACCCGAGGGGAGAAGCGGAGUUUAAGCAGAAGACAGACAAGUUUUGGGAGUACCAGGAGCAGAGCAAUACCUGGGUGGAAAUAAGCAUGCCUUUCAAUCUCAUGUCCUGUAUCAACGGCACCUGCACAAAGGUAGGCUCGAUCAAGCAACCAGAAAGCAAACAUGGCCGUGCUUCCGUCUCGAGUCAAGAGAAGGAUACUGAUCCAGUCCUGCCCAUAAGGAAAAGAAUCUCCCUGGCAAGGAUGUCAGAGUCGUCCGUGUGGGUCACAGGGCAGAGCGGAUCAAUCUAUGAGAGGUUCUGGAACGGGGUCAUGUGGGUGAUUGCUCCUCAUGAGCUUCCAACGGCGGCUGGGUAUGCAACAGCAACUUUCAUCGUCAACACAACCAUCCUUGCUCUGUCCGAGGCUGGAAUCCUCUACCAGGUAAGCAUAUCAUCUACUAACAGUCAGUAGUUCUUCUAGCUUAUUCAGACUUAGGGUUAUAAUCUUCUACAGCAGCUCAUAUCACUGAGCUUACUGUCUCUCGCAAAGAUCACCCUUGCAUCUUUCUUGAACUGUUUGAGAUCUUUAAUGGAACAGUAGCUUAUACUUUUUUCUUUUGAGGAAUAGUAGGUGAUACUUUAUGCCCGAAAGAAAAAAGUAUUUCGCCAUGAAACUUUGCAGACAAGUACUAUAUAUCCAUAUGUAUAUUUGUAUUUUUUCAGAAAUUUUUAUACCUAAAAAUUUGAUUUUUGAUUUUUUUUUGAAAAAAAGGCUCCAUGGAGCUCGAGCUCAGUUAGCAAUUUCCGUUUUAACAACAUAAAUAAAUCCGGUUUACUUCCAUUACUUGUACAGAUUGUGUCAUUCGAAACAAAACUUGUAUGUAGUGACUUUAGUACAACCAGAACUUAACGAUGUUGAGAAAAGACAGCGGAGAUAGUCAUAGAGAGUGAAGGAAAAUAUACAGGAGAAGUCAAACAGAAAUGUAUGUAACACAGGAACACUAGUUGCAUACCCAAUGUUAUAACUGGACCAAUGAAGGAAAUUAACUCCUGCUAGGUAAGGUUAAAAUAAUGUUCAGAAUUUGUGUAAUAUGUAUCCAUUAGUAAGCCACCAAUGGAAUUAUGAUUAGACUGUCCUGUUUUUUUAUCCUUCUAAAAAGACUUCAGGUCAUUCUAUUUGCAUAUCUGAAGUAUCUGAUAUAUAACAUGAAGAUGUGAUACGAUUCAGAAUGAACUUAUCUAUCCUAUCCAGCAAAGCAUAAAUCCUAUAUCGUCAAGUGAAAUAGACUUCUGCAUGAAUUCAGUUGCAAACAAAUUAGUCGCUGUAAGCUUUUCAGUUUUCGGUUUUUCCCCCUUGUAAGACCCCUGCCAUCUCGGCGUUUUCUUCUAAUACUGCCCAUUCAAGAAAAAAAGAAGUUGCUAUUAUGCUUUCACUCUAAUAGUUCUACUCUACAUCUUUUCAGCUACAGCUAAAUGAACAUGCCCAGCCUAUCUGGACUGAGAUGACAUUCAGCUAUGAACAACAUUUCACAAACCUUGAAGAGAAGACACAAAGUCAAGCUACACACAUAAAAAAUGGGGUCGUAUCACAUAAUGGAAGGUGAAUAUCUGCCCUAAUGCUUCCUUGUAAGGUUCAUCUGCGCAUAAAAUGCGGGUAUCUAGUCAAUUUGGAAUUACCAACAAACAAUGGUUGAAAGAACUUAUUCUUUCUCAAUCAGGAAACUUUUCCUUUCUAUCACGAAUGGGUCCCUAAUUGAGGUCACAGAACUUCAGCCUCUAAGGUAUGAGUCAGCACAACUCAACUUCAUCCUCUUGCAUGUUUGUAAUAUCUUGCUCAAAAUUCAAACGUAAACCACAGAAAAGAAACCCACCAAAAGCUUUCACAUAUGACUAUUUGUUGUUGCUGACUUAAAAUAUAGUGGAUCAAUACACAUGUAAUUUAAUAUGUAGAUAAAUCUGGCGAUCAUAUUUGAUCUUGGUAUAGAUAUUUUGAUCCUCUUUCCAGGAAGUGGUAUUUACACACAAAAAUCAGUAGAAAAGGCGAAUAUUUAUAAGUUAUUUAUGUGCUGGACCCACAUUAUAAUAGUAAAAAUAACUCAGGGGGUCGAGUAGAUGUUCCUAUUAUAAUAUUGUGAGUCACAGGUAUAAAGGCCUACUGUUGAGCAGGUUGCAACCUCUUCUAUUUAUUUCUCUGCUUUGAACUUUAAAAUUCUAAUACAAGGUUAAAUGCGUAUAUGGGGCCAAUGAUGUGUGUUCCAUCAUUAGUUAUGUAUAUCCUGAAAUACUAUAUUCAUGGAAAAUGUGUUCAAAAGAAAUAUUAGCUAUAUUACAUACUUUAAGAGAUCCAUAAUUACUUAAAACACGAUGGCAUGGUAGAAUAAAGGGCUGAUGAUUUUAAGAUAUUCUUUUCCUGACUAGAAAAUGCCAACAGUGUUUUUGAAGUUUUCGCAGAAGGUUUGGUUAACUGAAUGAAUAAAAAUAAUUUGCAGAAUUUCCUAUAACCUAUUUAUAGAAAUCACACUAUUUGCAACUUCUUUUAUCACUACUACCAUGGCUUCAAAUGAAAUAAUGGUUGAAUGCUACUGCUGCAUAGGUGGAAUUGCCAUGGGCGUCCCCCAGGAGCAGAUGUAUCAUAUAUAUCUGAUGCUGAAAAUGCAAGACCAGGGACCUUGUUCACAGUAAGGUAUGUUUAGCAUGUGCAUUUGAGGAUAUGAGGGGGUGGGUGGGGGUUGGGGGUACCUUUUCAACCUACCCUAGAAGGAAAAGAUUUGUUCGGUGAAGUCUCAGUUUGCUCCUAUACUGGUCAAUGACUGAAACAAAAGGGUUCAAGGAAUAUCAAACGUAUUCCUCCAACUUUCCGUAACAUAGUUUCUACCCAUAUCUCAGUCGUUCCAUUAAACAUAAUUAGGAGGACAAGUUAAACAAUAAAUAUAUCAACUUUCUCGUACAAGACAACGCUAUACUCAUUUAUGCUGUUAGUUCAAGAUUUGAUAUACUGUUGAUGCACACCAAUGCUAACAUGGGAUAAUGCAGUGCAGUUCUACUGGAGACCUAUAUGAAUUUGAUAAGGAAACGAAGCCAUCAUGGAAAAAGCAUAUAUGGAGUGAACAAACAACCAAAAAUGUCUCGCUGAGCUCAUCUGUUGGGUGUGCUUUGCAUGGUCUCUUAGGCUCUAAUUCAGUAUCACUCUUUCUGAUAACCAAGGUAUGUAAGAAUCUGUAUUAUCAUAAGCAAUUUAUUGCUGGAUUAAAGCUAACAAGGCAACAUUACCCAUUUGCAUAUUAUGCAUUUCAAAGGUGAACUCGCUUUUUAUGAUUUGGGAACAAUAUAUGGUGUGUUCCUGAUAACUAUGAUGGUUCUAAGUUAACCAUAACAGUGCAACAAGUAUCAUCCACACAGUUGAACAGAAACUAACAACAAGCUUUAUCGACUAACUAUAGAUAAUUUGAAAAGAAAAGAACUACAAAAAAAAGUUUGCUAGCUAUUGUAGUAUGAUUUUGUCAUGUCUAUGACCCUAGGGAUUCUGAUCCAUUAAAAUAACAUUUAUUUUGUGAUAUAUUCAGUUGUUAAAGGUGUUUAUAGAUUGGCAGGAUGGUCUUUUAGUGGAGCGGCGCUUGCAUAGAAGAAAGUGGAAGUGGGAUAAACAUGGAGCACCUAAGGGUCAAAGACUAAGUUCAAUUACAGAAGUUCAACAGGAUGAAUCUAAUGAUGCGACUUCAAUGUUUUUUACAACAACCACAGGAAAAGUAUUUGAGUAUCAGUUUCCAAAAUAUACAGGUGGAAACUCCUUCCUUAGACUUUGGACAUCUUUAUUCUUUUGUGACUGAGGUCAUCAAAGCAAUGUAUAUAGCUAGUAGCUUUCAUUACUUGCUUGAUAAAGCUUUAAUAAAUUGCUAAGUGGAUAAGUGUAUCGCUAUGAUUGGCUAUAAGUCUCAGAAUUCAAGUUACACUAUGCUGGAAAACAAGAUGAAUUUGAAGGAACUUCACAUAGCAGAACAAUUUACGUAAUUAUAUUGAAUUGUUCCUGGAGUCGAAAGAUAAAAAUGAACCAUAGUUAUGAAUAUGCUAGUUCAAGAUAGGAUGUCCUUCAAGUAAAGUGAAUCAGCAGCAAUAAACUCUUCUUUAAGCCCAUAUGCCGCACUCAGGUCAUGAUACGAUGUUGUAUACUAUUCUUUUGUCAGCAAUAAACAUGACAUACUCUCAACUUCUCGCCUAGGACCAUAUCAUUGCAUGUAAUCUUUUCUGAACAAAAUACCAAUCGAUUCAAUUCUUACUACAGCAAUUCUUUAAGUUCCAAGAAGAAACUAAGUUGACAUUGUUUAUCUUCUCCAUUGGACAAGGUGGGGCUUCAAGCAAUAAGAUUAGAGGACUAUGGGUAAAUCACAUGUCUCCUGACCAUGCAAAAGUAGCAGCAAGUGUUCGAGGUCUACAGAUUCAAGUUGGCAGAUUGAUAUUCCAGCUAGAUGAUGGUAGGCUUGGAGAGCUACAUUUACCUGGCAUGGGAGGUGGUCAUUUUGGUCCAAGUCAACAAAAUAGCAUAAGAAGGAAAGUGCCAAACAAGUAUGAGUGGUCUAUCCUAGAUACACCAGAAACAGAAGGUUGGAAUGCAGAAUAUUGCACUGAAGAGCAUGGCCCUACAAACUGUAUUACUGGAGCGAUGAAUGUAGCUGCAGAUACGGAACCAACCAACCUGAGCAAUGCCC